rnacentral:rRNA from 1 species
CCUACGGGAGGCAGCAGUGGGGAAUAUUGCGCAAUGGGCGAAAGCCUGACGCAGCAACGCCGCGUGGGUGAGGAAGGCCUUCGGGUUGUAAAGCCCUGUCAGGUGGAACGAAUCUCAUCCCGAGCGAAUAAUUCGGGAGAAUGACGGUACCACCAGAGGAAGCCCCGGCAAACUACGUGCCAGCAGCCGCGGUAAUACGUAGGGGGCGAGCGUUGUUCGGAAUUACUGGGCGUAAAGAGCGCGUAGGCGGUCAAAUAAGUCAGGCGUGAAAUCCCUCAGCUUAACUGAGGUUUGGCGCUUGAAACUAUUUGACUUGAGUUUAGGAGAGGAGAGUGGAAUUCCCAGUGUAGCGGUGAAAUGCGUAGAUAUUGGGAGAAACACCUGUGGCGAAGGCGGCUCUCUGGACUAAUACUGACGCUGAGGCGCGAAAGCUAGGGGAGCAAACGGGAUUAGAUACCCCGGUAGUCCUAGCCGUAAACGAUGGGCACUAGGUGUGGGAGGUAUCGACCCCUUCCGUGCCGCAGCUAACGCAUUAAGUGCCCCGCCUGGGGAGUAUGGCCGCAAGGCUGAAACUCAAAGGAAUUGACGG